UCGAACGGGCCCGGUCUUCGGAUCGGGCCAGUGGCGGAAGGGUGAGUAAGGCGACGGUAACCAACCCCAUGGUCGGGUAUAGCCGCGGGAAACUGCGGGUAAUCCCCAGCGACGUGCGGGGCCGGCAUCGGCCCCUCACCAAAGCUCAGGCGCCGUGGGACGGGCCGUCGUGGUAUUAGCUAGUUGGCGGGGUAACGGCCCACCAAGGCUGUGAUGCCUACCGGGCGUGCGAGCGUGGCCCGGCACACUGGGACUGAGACACUGCCCAGACUCCUACGGGAGGCUGCAGUCGAGAAUCUUCGGCAAUGGGCGCAAGCCUGACCGAGCGACGCCGCGUGGAGGAUGAAGGCCUUCGGGUUGUAAACUCCUGUCGAGGGGGAGGAAGGGGAGACCUUGACCGAUCCCUGGAGGAAGCACGGGCUAAGUUCGUGCCAGCAGCCGCGGUAAGACGAACCGUGCGAACGUUAUUCGGAAUCACUGGGCUUAAAGCGCGUGUAGGCGGGCGGGUACGUCGGCGACUGAAAGCCCCCGGCUCAACCGGGGAAGGGGUGCCGAAACGGCCGGCCUGGAGGGGCGUAGGGGGACCUGGAACUUCCGGUGGAGCGGUGAAAUGCGUUGAGAUCGGAAGGAACGCCCGUGGCGAAAGCGAGGUCCUGGACGCCAUCUGACGCUGAGACGCGAAAGCCAGGGAGCGAACGGGAUUAGAUACCCCGGUAGUCCUGGCCGUAAACGAAUGGGCACUGGGUAGGGGGCUC
rnacentral:rRNA from 1 species